ensembl:snoRNA
AUCCUCCUAAUGCUUACCACAGACAGUACACCAUAGAGUGCUGGCUGUAUAGAAACAGGAGGGACAUUAACCUCUCCUGACAAACCUGCUCUGCCAGCUGUUGUCUGGUGGGGCAGUGUUGUUAGGUGGGACAUCC